GUGCUUAACACAUGCAAGUCGAACGGAAAGGCCCAGCUUGCUGGGUACUCGAGUGGCGAACGGGUGAGUAACACGUGGGUGAUCUGCCCUGCACUCUGGGAUAAGCCUGGGAAACUGGGUCUAAUACCGGAUAUGACCAACUGUCGCAUGGUGGUUGGUGGAAAGCUUUUGCGGUGUGGGAUGGGCCCGCGGCCUAUCAGCUUGUUGGUGGGGUAAUGGCCUACCAAGGCGACGACGGGUAGCCGACCUGAGAGGGUGAUCGGCCACACUGGGACUGAGACACGGCCCAAACUUCUACGGGAGGCAGCAGUGGGGAAUAUUGCACAAUGGGCGCAAGCCUGAUGCAGCGACGCCGCGUGAGGGAUGACGGCCUUCGGGUUGUAAACCUCUUUCACCAGGGACGAAGCGUGAGUGACGGUACCUGGAGAAGAAGCACCGGCCAACUACGUGCCAGCAGCCGCGGUAAUACGUAGGGUGCGAGCGUUGUCCGGAAUUA
rnacentral:rRNA from 1 species